AACGCGAAGAACCUUACCCACCUUUGACAUGUGGAAUCGCAGAGAUGUGGAAGUGCCCGAAAGGGAGCCAGAACACAGGUGCUGCAUGGCUGGAGCGUGGUGAGAUGUUGGGUUAAGCCGCAACGAGCGCAACCCUUGAUUAGUUGCUACGAAAGGGCACUAAUGAGACUGCCGGUGACAAACCGGAGGAAGGUGGGGAUGACGAAGCAUGGCCCUUAUAGGUGGGGCUACACGCGAUACAAUGGACGGUACAAAGGGCUGCCAACCCGCGAGGGGGAGCCAACCAUAAAACCGUGUAGCGGAGCAGUGCAACGACUGCGUGAAGGGAAGCUAGUAAGUGGAAGAAUGACGGUGAAUACGUCCGGGUUGUACACACCG
rnacentral:rRNA from 1 species